rnacentral:tRNA from 1 species
UGCGGGAAUUGCCAAGCCUGGUCUACGGCGCUGGACUUAGAAUCCAGUCUCAGAGGAGUUCGAGGGUUCAAAUCCCUCUUCCCGCAU